AGCGUAGACGGUUAUUUAAGCAAGAUGUGAAAGCCCCGGGCUCAACCUGGGAACUGCGUUUUGAACUGGGUAACUAGAGUGUGUCAGAGGGGGGUAGAAUUCCACGUGUAGCAGUGAAAUGCGUAGAGAUGUGGAGGAAUACCGAUGGCGAAGGCAGCCCCCUGGGAUAACACUGACGUUCAUGCUCGAAAGCGUGGGUAGCAAACA
rnacentral:rRNA from 1 species